AAAACGAUAAAUAUAUUUCUAUUACUUAUCGAUAGUCAGUAUAAUUGGACUUAGUCAAAUAGCGAUAUAUAAACUACUUAACAAUUAUCUAUCUAUCUGCUAAACUGAUUGCACUGCCCGCGCAACUAAGUAGAACAUAACAAAUGAAUCUAUCUGACAACAUGGUUGUUCUGUCACAGUUGAUUCUGCUCUAGUGCUAUUGGUGGAACGACUGGAAAGAGAAUUGUUUACCAAAACAGUGUUGUUGUGAUAACCUCACAAGUAUUUCAACACGCCAGACUUGGAGGGAUAUCACUCACCUAGCGGGCGUUAUUUCCAGGAUCGUACUAAGGGGGUCUGAGUUGCAAUGGCUAUUUCUACGGUUGGCAAAGUCAACACAUUGCAAUUGGAACUUAAGGUUACAAAUGUGUAUUUCAACACGCCAGACUUGGAGGGAUAUCACUCACCUAGCGGGCGUUAUUUCCAGGAUCGUACUAAGGGGGUCUGAGUUGCAAUGGCUAUUUCUACGGUUGGCAAAGUCAACACAUUGCAAUUGGAACUUAAGGUUACAAAUGUGUUUUUUUUAAUUGUGCGUACAUGGAUUUUUUCAUCCUUACAUGUUUAUUUAAAGUAAUUUCGUGAAAGUGGGCACGUCCCGCAACGUUGGCUUAAACGACUAUUCUACUGAGAGCUGGCG